UUGCAUAGUUGUAUUUUUGUUGGUUUAAAGC
rnacentral:piRNA from 1 species